GACGAACGCUGGCGGCGUGCUUAACACAUGCAAGUCGAACGGAACGGCGAACGGGCGAGUAACACGUGGGUGACCUGCUCCGCACUUCGGGAUAAGCCUGGGAAACUGGGUCUACUACUGCAUAGUUUGGGAUGGGCUCGCGGCCUAUCAGCUUGUUGGUGGGGUAAUGGCCUACCAAGGCGGCGCCGGGUAGCCGGCCUGAUAGGGUGGACUGCCACAUGGGGACUGAGACACGGCGCAGACUCCUACGGGGGGCAACAGUGGGGAGUAUUGCACAAUGGGGGGAAGCCUGAUGCAGCGACGCCGCGUGGGGGAUGACGGCCUUCGGGUUGUAAACUCCUUUCACCAUCGACGCGGUAGAUGGAGAAGAAGCACCGGCUAACUACGUGCCAGCAGCCGCGGUAAUUC
rnacentral:rRNA from 1 species